AUCACUUCUCCUAGUGGGUGGUCAGGGUGGGUAUUGCGAGGAUUCGACUGUUACUAUGUUCAAUGGUGACCGGUGAGAGUGCCUGUAUAUAGAAGAUAUUUGCAUUCCAAAUUGUUGUUGGUGUCAGCGGGGGCACCAAUUCAUCUAUUUGGACAUUCGGAAGUACCCGAAUGUCCGAAUUGCCCGAAAUUCGUCCGAAUUCACAUUC